GAUGAACGCUGACAGAAUGCUUAACACAUGCAAGUCAACUUGAACUUCGGUUUGGGUGGCGGACGGGUGAGUAACGCGUAAAGAACUUGCCUCACAGAUAGGGACAACAUUUGGAAACGCAUGCUAAUACCUGAUAUUAUGAUUAUAUGGCAUCGUAUAAUUAUGAAAGCUAUAUGCGCUGUGAGAGAGCUUUGCGUCCCAUUAGCUAGUUGGAGAGGUAACGGCUCACCAAGGCGAUGAUGGGUAGCCGGCCGGGAAGGGGGAUCGGCCAUAAGAAAACUGAGGAACGGCGGUGCCGACUACGGGAGGCAGCAGCAGGGAAUAGUGAAGAAUGGACCAAGAGUCUGAGCCAGUAAUGCUAUGUGCAAGACGCAGUAUUUCGGAAUUUAAAGUGCUUUCAGUUAGGAAGAAAAAAAUACCUGAACCAACAGACGAGCUGCGGCCAAAUUCCAU
rnacentral:rRNA from 1 species